rnacentral:rRNA from 1 species
AUUGAACGCUGGCGGCAUGCCUUACACAUGCAAGUCGAACGGUAACAGGUCUUCGGAUGCUGACGAGUGGCGCACGGGUGAGUAAUACAUCGGAACGUGCCCGAUCGUGGGGGAUAACGGAGCGAAAGCUUUGCUAAUACCGCAUACGAUCUACGGAUGAAAGCAGGGGACCGCAAGGCCUUGCGCGGACGGAGCGGCCGAUGGCAGAUUAGGUAGUUGGUGGGAUAAAAGCUUACCAAGGCGACGAUCUGUAGCUGGUCUGAGAGGACGACCAGCCACACUGGGACUGAGACACGGCCCAGACUCCUACGGGAGGCAGCAGUGGGGAAUUUUGGACAAUGGGCGAAAGCCUGAUCCAGCCAUGCCGCGUGCAGGAUGAAGGCCUUCGGGUUGUAAACUGCUUUUGUACGGAACGAAAAAACUCUUUCUAAUAAAGAGGGUCCAUGACGGUACCGUAAGAAUAAGCACCGGCUAACUACGUG